GAGUUUGAUCAUGGCUCAGGAUGAACGCUAGCGGCAGGCUUAACACAUGCAAGUCGAGGGGUAGUAUAGCAAUAUAUGAGACCGGCGCACGGGUGCGUAACGCGUAUGCAAUCUACCUUUUACAGGGGAAUAGCCCAGAGAAAUUUGGAUUAAUGCCCCAUGGUAUAAUUGAUUGGCAUCAAUUAAUUAUUAAAGUUCCAACGGUAAAAGAUGAGCAUGCGUCCCAUUAGCUAGUUGGUAUGGUAACGGCAUACCAAGGCGAUGAUGGGUAGGGGUCCUGAGAGGGAGAUCCCCCACACUGGUACUGAGACACGGACCAGACUCCUACGGGAGGCAGCAGUGAGGAAUAUUGGACUAU
rnacentral:rRNA from 1 species